rnacentral:rRNA from 1 species
GGUUUGAUCAUGGCUCAGAUUGAACGCUGGCGGGAUGCUUUACACAUGCAAGUCGAACGGCAGCACGGACUUCGGUCUGGUGGCGAGUGGCGAACGGGUGAGUAAUGUAUCGGAACGUGCCUAGUAGCGGGGGAUAACUACGCGAAAGCGUAGCUAAUACCGCAUACGCCCUUCGAGGAAAGCGGGGGACCUUCGGGCCUCGCACUAUUAUUAGAGCAGCCGAUAUCGGAUUAGCUAGUUGGUGGGGUAACGGCUCACCAGGCGACGAUCCGUAGCUGGUUUGAGAGGACGACCAGCCACACUGGGACUGAGACACGGCCCAGACUCUACAGGAGGCAGCAGUGGGGAAUUUUGGACAAUAAGGGGAAACCCUGAUCCAGCCAUCCCGCGUGUGCGAUGAAGGCCUUCCGGGUUGUAAAGCACUUUUGGCAGGAAAGAAACGGCACGGGAUAAUACCCCGUGCAACUGACUAAUACCUGCAGAAUAAGCACCGGCUAACUACGUGCCAGCAGCCGCGGUAAUACGUAGGGUGCAAGCGUUAAUCGGAAUUACUGGGCGUAAAGCGUGCGCAGGCGGUUCGGAAAGAAAGAUGUGAAAUCCCAGAGCUUAACUGGAACUGCAUUUUUAACUACCGAGCUAGAGUGUGUCAGAGGGAGGUGGAAUUCCGCGUGUAGCAGUGAAAUGCGUAGAUAUGCGGAGGAACACCGAUGGCGAAGGCAGCCUCCUGGGAUAACACUGACGCUCAUGCACGAAAGCGUGGGGAGCAAACAGGAUUAGAUACCUGGUAGUCCACGCCCUAAACGAUGUCAACUAGCUGUUGAGGCCUUCGGGCCUUGGUAGCGCAGCUAACGCGUGAAGUUGACCGCCUGGGAAAUACGGUCGCAAGAUUAAAACUCAAAGGAAUUGACGGGGACCCGCACAAGCGGUGGAUGAUGUGGAUUAAUUCGAUGCAACGCGAAAACCUUACCUGCCCUUGACAUGUCUGGAAUCCCGAAGAGAUUUGGGAAGUGCUCGCAAGAGAACCGGAACACGGGUGCUGCACGCUGGCUGUCAAUCAGCUCAAUGUCUGUGGGAUGGCCGGACCGACCUCACAACAGAAGCGCAACCUGUCGUCGUUAUUUGAAAAAGGAGACCUCAAUGAAGGUGCAAAUAAACUCGCUCCGGAAGAAGAUACAAGAUGGCGUCAAGUCCUCAUGGCCCUUAUGGGUAGGGCUUCACACGAUCAUACAAUGGUCGGGACAGAGGGUCGCCAACCCGCGAGGGGAGCCAAUCCCGAAACCCGAUCGUAGUCCGGAUCGCAGUCUGCAACUCGACUGCGUGAAGUCAGAUCGCUAGUAAUCGCGGAUCAGCAUGUCGCGGUGAAUACGUUCCCGGAGUCUUGUACACACCGCCCGUCACACCAUGGGAGUAGGUUUUACCAAGUAGUUAGCCUAACCGUAAGGAGGGCGAUUACCACGGUAGGAUUCAUGACUGGGGUGAAGUCAUCGCUAAAGGUAG